GGGACAACGUUUCGAAAGGAACGCUAAUACCGCAUACGUCCUACGGGAGAAAGCAGGGGACCUUCGGGCCUUGCGCUAUCAGAUGAGCCUAGGUCGGAUUAGCUAGUUGGUGGGGUAAUGGCUCACCAAGGCGACGAUCCGUAACUGGUCUGAGAGGAUGAUCAGUCACACUGGAACUGAGACACGGUCCAGACUCCUACGGGAGGCAGCAGUGGGGAAUAUUGGACAAUGGGCGAAAGCCUGAUCCAGCCAUGCCGCGUGUGUGAAGAAGGUCUUCGGAUUGUAAAGCACUUUAAGUUGGGAGGAAGGGCAGUAAGCUAAUACCUUGCUGUUUUGACGUUACCGACAGAAUAAGCACCGGCUAACUCUGUGCCAUCAGCCGCGGUAAUACAGAGGGUGCAAGCGUUAAUCGGAAUUACUGGGCGUAAAGCGCGCGUAGGUGGUUUGUAAGUUGGAUGUGAAAGCCCCGGGCUCACCUGGGAACUGCAUCCAAACUGGCAAGCUAGAGACGGAAGAGGGGGUGGAAUUUCCUGUGUCCGGUGAAAGCCUAGAUAUAGGAAGGAACCCAGUGGCGAAGGGACCACCUGGACUGAACUGACCUGAGGUGCGAAGCGUGGGGA
rnacentral:rRNA from 1 species